rnacentral:rRNA from 1 species
CACGUAGGAGGCGAGCGUUGUCCGGAAUCAUUGGGCGUAAAGAGCGCGCAGGCGGCUUGGCAAGUCGGGUGUGAAAUCCCGGGGCUCAACCCCGUGACUGCAUCCGAUACUGUCAGGCUAGAGGUAGGUAGGGGAGAUCGGAAUUCCUGGUGUAGCGGUGAAAUGCGCAGAUAUCAGGAGGAACACCGGUGGCGAAGGCGGGUCUCUGGGCCGAUACUGACGCUGAGGCGCGACAGCGUGGGGAGCAAACAGG